UCGAACGGGCCUUGGGACUUCGGUUCCAGGCCAGUGGCGCACGGGUGCGUAACGCGUAUGCAACCUACCUCUCACUGGGGGAUAGCCCGUCGAAAGACGGAUUAAUACCGCAUAAGACUCUUUGAGGGCAUCCGAGGAGAGUUAAAGAUUUAUCGGUGGGAGAUGGGCAUGCGUGCCAUUAGCUAGUUGGCGGGGUAACGGCCCACCAAGGCGACGAUGGCUAGGGGUUCUGAGAGGAUGAUCCCCCACACUGGCACUGAGACACGGGCCAGACUCCUACGGGAGGCAGCAGUAGGGAAUAUUGGGCAAUGGCCGAGAGGCUGACCCAGCCAUGUCGCGUGCAGGACGAAGGCCUUCUGGGUUGUAAACUGCUUUUAUCUGGGAAGAAAACGCCCCUGCGGGGGUAACUGACGGUACCAGGUGAAUAAGCACCGGCUAACUCCGUGCCAGCAGCCGCGGUAAUACGGAGGGUGCGAGCGUUGUCCGGAUUUAUUGGGUUUAAAGGGUGCGUAGGCGGCCCGUUAAGUCAGCGGUGAAAUCCCACGGCUCAACCGUGGAACUGCCGUUGAUACUGGCGGGCUUGAGUACAGACGAGGCAGGCGGAAUUUGAUGAUGUAGCGGUGAAAUGCAUAGAUACC
rnacentral:rRNA from 1 species